CGCUCCCCGACACAUCCCGCGUCCCGCAGCGCCUCGGGGCCGGAUCUCACCGGGCAGCGGCCCCGCGCUACGUCAGCUGGAAAACCUUCUCGUUCCACCACACCUCCGCGGAGGCCGAGGCCCCUCCCGACGCCCGCGGUUCCUUUCUCCCCCUCCCUCCCGCUCCUUCAGGCCCGCCCGGGCGGCCGCGGCGGCCCACGCCCUGCGGGGAAGUGGGUGCGGGUUACCAGCCGGCUGUACACGCAACGUGCGCUGUUCGGACCCCCGGGCGUGGCAGUGCCCGGAGCAGCGCUGCGGGGCCGCCCGUGACUCAGCUGCUCCGGGAGCGCUCCUCACCAUAAGGGAAGGGAACACCGACGGGGCGAGCAGCGCCAGAGAGCGGCUCUGCACGCAAUGAGAUCCGAAGGCAACGAGGGCAAUGAGCGCAGGGCCGGAGGAGCGUUACAGACCGGGGAAACGCUACCGCGAGCCGGUACUGUCAUCAAGCGCUAGGAAACGCUAACUUGGUCAUGAAUAAAAGCAUGGUUAAAGUCAGCAUAGUGGUUUUAAAGCUCCCCAACAGUAAACGCUAGGAAACAUCAACCAAAAAACUCUCUAUAAAAUGACUUAAAUUUACAGGUUGGUCUAAGAUGAAGUACUGCUUUAUUGGGGGCCUUAGGCCAGGGCAGUACAGAAGCAAUAUUUGGGUCCACCAAACCCACUCCUCUUAAACGUUCCUAAAGUUCCUAAGAAUCCAUCAACUGUUUCUGUAACACAGCAGAUGGAGCAGGGUGUGCC
rnacentral:lncRNA from 1 species